GCCCGCCUAGCUCAAUCGGAUAGAGCGUCAGACUCUUACUUGCUAGGCGAUUGUGAUCUGAAGGCUGCGAGUUCGACCCUCGCGGUGGGCU
rfam:Suillus luteus TH-Slu-Lm8-n1 unplaced genomic scaffold CY34scaffold_11, whole genome shotgun sequence.